UGCAGUAAGCUGAGAUUACACCACUGCACUUCAGCCUGAGUGACAGAGUGGGACCCUGUCUCUUAACAACAAAAAACCCAAAACCUUUAAUGGGUGCAUAGGCGUUUAUAAGAUAUAAUGAGUAUACAGAUUAAAGUAGAACACCAAGAAUGAUUUCUCACAUAAAUUAUUUGUUGAAGAAUAAUCAUUUGGCAAAUAGUUUUUCCCUUAUAAUAAAACUAGUUGAUAAAUUCAUUUUUAUCUUAUUAAGGACAAGAAAAUGAUAGACCUUAUUUGAAAAUGGAAGACCAGACCUGUAACAGAUCAUCGGUGAGGGGAUGACAUGUGAAGGAGGCCAUCAGGCAGUGCUGCCUUUGCCCGUAACUCAUCAGAUGUGAUGCAUUCAGGCUGCAGCGUCACUUGGGUUUACCACUGCGAGACGAGGAGGCAACACAACAACAUUCUUUGCUGUCUGCAGGUGAACUGAGUAACAGAUCUGCUUUGACCAGUCACUAGUAGCCUUGGAAAGAAAGACAGUCUUACGCUGUUGCCCAAGCUGGAGUGCAGUGAUGCAACCAUAGCUGACUGUAGACUUGAACUGCUUGGCUCAAGGGAUCCUUCUGCCUUAGCCUUCCAAGUGGCUAGGACUACAGAUGAUGAUAAUGAUUAUUACCCAGACUGCUCAUCUGCAAGGAAGAAAUCUCUCUUCUAUCCCUGUUCCUUCCACUCGGCUCCUCAUUCUCGUAUAAACAACAAUAUAGUUUAUUAAUUUUUUUAGUAGAGACAGUGUUUAAUGUAUUUUUAGUAGAAAAAUACAUUGUUUU